rnacentral:lncRNA from 1 species
UUCAAGAACCAGUCGGACUUCAAUGGCUAUCAUGGCUCGUACUUGGAUCUCAUUCCUGCCUGCGUCUUUCUUCUCCAUAGAGAAUUACAAUCAUCCUCCUCCCAUAAUUAUGUUCAAGGUUUCAGGCGAGCUCAUGCAUUGCCUUUCAUGGCGACUUCUCAAGUGGAAAGAGACAGAAAAUCAGUGAUUCUAAAAUGGCAGAAAUGGAGGGGAAUUGAGGCUCGACUGGUCCGAAUUUCCAUUAUUUGUAACCACUAUUAAUGUUGUUUCAUAUUUUUUAUUAUGGGGUAUUAGAUGUAGUUAUAGAGGGAGAGAGUUUGUGCUUUGAUAUGCCAAACCCAGUCUAUCCACUCUAAAAUGAUAAGCUUUGUAGUGUAAUUAUCGUUUGAAUUAGUUGCAUUUGUUUUUGCUGAAUAUUUUUUGGUGAUUAUAUGGCAUAAUUAUGGUUGAUUUCAAAAUGAAUGGGUAUUGCUUAUAAUUUCACAGAAAGAGAAUUCAUGGAAAAUAAAUUUUGAGUCUUGACAUUCAACCACUCAUGCUUCUUUUCUCGUUUUUAAGGAUUUGAAUCACAGUCAA